UGGGGGGAGGGUGCAUUUACUGAGAAAUCAGGUGUCUAAGAUACACCUAUAGAUGGAAAGUUGAGUCAUUGGGCAGAGCAGAAGGUAUCUCAGGUGUCGAGAAGAUGAGAUCACUUUUAGAUUUGGUGGACUCUUACUGACUGCUUGAAAAUUCUUUGAAAUGUUGAGAAUAUACAUGGCUCUUAGAAAAAUAAAGUUCAUCCACAACCAAAAAAACAUAUCACAACUUUAUAAAAGAGAGAAAAGAUUUAUGAGGGGCUUGUGUGGCCAGUGCAGGAGGAAAAUGUUAUCAUGAAUAAAAAUCGGUGUUUUGGGCUGGGGAUUUAGCUCAAUGGUUCCACUGCCUGCCUUGCAAACACAAGGUCCCAAGUUCAAUCCCCAGUACAAAAUAAAUAAAUAAAUAAAUAAAUAAAACAAUUAAUUAAUUAAAAAUGGAUGUCUUCAUAAGGAAGUUGGGCUGCUGAAGGUCAGGAGGGACUGCGCCAAGGGUGGAAGAAGAAAAGAUGGAAAGUUCGGCCAGCAGAAGCUGCAGACUGCUGCCCCCACUUGAUGAGAAUUUGGCCAACCUGACCUUAAAUGUGAACCCAUUGCCCUUUCUGCUCCAGGAAACUUCUGCACUUGAUCUUAGCCAAAAGGUCGAGAAGUGAUACCAAG
rnacentral:lncRNA from 1 species